rnacentral:lncRNA from 1 species
GUAAGCAUUCAUUCCCUAGCCAGUACACUAACAAUUGAACCAAAAAUUCAUUCACACAAUAAAAGAGAAAUGGAAUGAGUAUCUAGUUUCCUUUGUUGUAUUUCUUGUAUAUGUUAUACAUUCUGUAAAGUUGAACUGUUCUGGUGCGUUGGCUUAAAUCUUAGUAGAAAACUCAAACUUUUUUCUCAUUCUGUCCUGAUGGUUUAGAUAAAAUCUUAUUCUGCUUGUUUCACUAGCUUGCAUCUGGUGAAGUUUUUGGUCCUGAUCAACCUAUUGCAUUGAAGCUAUUGGGGUCAGAAAGGUCAUUCCAAGCACUUGAAGGCAAGUUUGGCACACUUAAAAAGAAACUCAAUAUUGCUUUGAAGAUCAUUUGAUUGCAUGGUAUUUCUAGUCUCUCAUUUUCAGAACUCUUGAGCAAUGAAGAUAAAAUGCAUGAAACAAAAGUUUCUUUUGAUUCCUCUAUGAAGUUUAGCCUGUAUCAGCCUUUUUUUCUUAUGAUGUCUUGAGAACAGUUUAACAUAAGAACUUGCAAGUCUAUAAUGUUUUGAACCACCAAACUUUGAGAUUGAACUGAAAUCUUUCAGCUAUCCUACAAAUAACCUGCUAUUGACAUCCCCAUAUAUGCAGGUGUUGCCAUGGAAUUGGAGGACUCCCUUUUCCCUCUUUUGAGAGAGGUGGUGAUAAGCAUUGAUCCUUAUGAAGUAUUCCAAGAUGCAGAAUGGGCUCUUUUGAUCGGAGCAAAGCCUCGAGGACCGGGAAUGGAGCGUGCCGCUUUAUUAGAUAUAAAUGGGCAGAUAUUUGCUGAACAAGUACGUUUAUCAAUUUUUUUUUUUGAGAUCCAUUUUUUCUGCUACUCCAAUAAAUAUAGGCAAUUUGUUACAUUUAACUUUUGAUGUUAUCAUUUAACAAUUAAUAAAGGGCAAAGCUCUAAAUGCUGUUGCAUCCCCAAAUGUCAAAGUCAUAAUUGUGGGCAAUCCCUGCAAUACCAAGUGAGUUCAUGUUUUAUUCAGCACGAGUUUCUUUAAGUCUGUGCAACAUAUAACUUCUCUCUUCCUUUUCAAUCCAUACAGUGCAUUAAUCUGUUUGAAAAAUGCUCCGAAAAUUCCUGCAAAGAACUUCCACGCUUUAACUCGACUAGAUGAGAAUCGAGCAAAAUGUCAGGUACUAUACCGCUAACGCGCUUGAUGCUACUUGCUUUCCUCACACGUAAUACGUUUUGGAAU